ACAGCCCAAAAUGGCGGCACUAGAAGAAAGCCACUGGGGGAGAAAGGCAGUCUCUUCCUGGUUUCUGAUUUUCCCAGUCAAUUUCCAAUUUCGCCAUGUCAACCAUUCAUCUCUGCUCAGGACUUGAUCUUCUUUGCAAUAGUAUCCACACUGCUGUCAUCGCCUACAUAAAUAGUCAUUUCUGCUCCUUUGGAAUUUCUGCACCUAAAAUACCUGGUGUUAUGUAUUGAAGUUCUCACCCUGGCCACCUGGAGUAUCGUGUAUAGUAUAUAGUUUUCACACAGAUCCACAUCAGUUACUUUAGGCGGGAAACCCUGGGUUGUUGUUGCUACAAUGUUGACAGCCGGCUGCCUAUAAAAGCAGGCCGGCUGAGCUGUUUGCUAUUCUGUUCUGUUCCAGCUUACAAAUAAAGAGCUGCUUUGGAGAAAUUGCUGUGUUGUCUGCUAUGUCUACCCACUAUUUAACACCUAAUAAAAGACUCUGGAUUUUUCGCAAACGUUACUUUAAACAUUUUUUUCAAUUUAUUAUAAAUCAUUUCUCAGAA